rnacentral:lncRNA from 1 species
CACUUUCGGAGUCUGACAAAACAGGAUCUUGUGCUUGUCACACACAAAUAUUCGGUCCAAGACGAAUUUGGAAACUGCAGUGUGAGAGAGAUUUCUCAAUGCAGUGUCUCUGCAGACAUUCCGGAGAAGCUCAAGUCUUUCCAUAUGAACGAGGGGAUGGUGUAGCAGAUUUCCAGUAAAAGCUUUUCCAGUUGGCUGGAAUUCUUUAGUCCAAUGUUUUUCCUCUGGCACACGUGCCUCCUCCACUUUUGUCACAGCUGUCAGUAUCAAUGGCUCUUGUUUGGCACCGUAGCCAUCUGGAUCUUUAAAAGUCAGUGUGAUAAACUUGCUGGCAACCAUGAACAUGAAUAUCACCCAAAAGCAUGCAGCUAGAAGCAGCCACUGGUGGUGCAUGUUGUCAGACAUGAGCCAUAUAAGGUUGUUGCUUCCGGCCCUACGGCGCCGCUCCCCGCAGCCCCGGCCCCCGCGGCGGGGCGCCGCUCCGGUCCGGGCCCGCCUCACGCGGCGGCCCGGCGAGGCGGCCCCGGCUGCCGCAUCCCCCCGCCCGGCUGCGGGCGGCGGCGGCGCCUCCCCGCUCAGCCCCGAUUGCCGCUGCUGCUGCCGCCGCCGCCCAGCCCUGCCGCCGCCGCAUCCAUUUCCUCCCGCCGCGGGCAGGCCCCGGCCUCGGCCGCGCCCCCAGCCCCGCCGCGGGGAAGGAGUGGAAGGUGGAGGCCGCCGUGGGGAAGGCUCGCUCCGCUCCGAGCAGACGCAGCGUCCCUCCCGGCCGCCGGCCCUGGGGCGGAGGCAGGAGGGAGGGAAAGAUGCUCGCUUCGCCCCGCCCUGCCCCGCCUCACCUCGCUCCGGCGGGAGCGGGAUGCCUUGGCCCGCAGGCCCCGGCCCCAGAGAGCCCCCUUCCCGCAGGUACGGGGCCCGCCGCAGCCCUCGGCCCCUUCUCGGCGGGGCCCUAAAGCCAAUGCUCGGAUCGGCUCACAGAUAAGCGUAUAUUGACUGAUCUAUUCCUCUGGAAAUGUCUCGGAUAGUUCUGUAAUGCUGCUCUGAGAUAGCGCUUCCCAAGCCC